GACCUUAUGCUUUUGGAGCGGCCGAUGUCUGAUUAGCUAGUUGGUAGGGUAAUGGCUUACCAAGGCGACGAUCAGUAGUUGGUCUGAGAGGACGACCAGCCACACUGGGACUGAGACACGGCCCAGACUCCUACGGGAGGCAGCAGUGGGGAAUUUUGGACAAUGGGCGCAAGCCUGAUCCAGCCAAUGCCGCGUGAGUGAAGAAGGCCUUCGGGGUUGUUAAAGCUCUUUCAGUUGAGAAGAAAAAGUCGUGACUAAUAAUCAUGAUUCAUGACGGUAUCAACAGAAGAAGCACCGGCUAACUACGUG
rnacentral:rRNA from 1 species